UAAUGUGAAUUGCAGAAUUCAGUGAAUCAUCGAAUCUUUGAACGCACAUUGCGCCCUCUGGUAUUCCGGGGGGCAUGCCUGUCCGAGCGUCAUUA
rnacentral:rRNA from 1 species